CAGAGACUGGGAAUGGAGAGAGUGUCCCAACUCAAUUUCCUGCCUUUGGUUCUGAGAGAUUCCCUUGUGCCCCAUUUGCUCAAGCCUGUGUGCGUAGGAGUGGGUUGCUUCCUGCCAAGUCAUCCCUAAUGAAAUGUGAAAAUGCAAAUGCCAGACACAAAGUGGAUGUGCAGUUCUUCAAGCCUGCUUCAGAACUAACCAGCAAACACCAAGGGCCUACACUGUGCUCAGCCCACUGAAAUGUGGCAUGGGGUGAAGUUUGUGAGCUCCAACCUGCUAGCAUUUCUUCUUUACGGAAUCAGAUGGAGGUGGUUCUGGGCCAGAGACAAAUCUAAGGGAAAGAAUUGCUGUUUCUCCUGCACGGCAGAGGAGCGGCUGCUGGGUAAGCAGCCCUUUCUGGCUGUCUCUCUCCAGGUGAGGUGAAUCAUCUCUCUGGAGGCUCCCUGAGCUCUCAGAGGCUGAAACCCCAAGGCCGAUGAAUCACAAGGAGAAUGAAGCAGUCUGCUUUUCAGUUUUCCUCGCGAUUUUUAUUGCAACCACCUUUACAUCAUGCAGAGGU
rnacentral:lncRNA from 1 species